UACGUAGGUGGCGAGCGUUGUCCGGAUUUACUGGGCGUAAAGAGCGCGCAGGCGGUCGUUCAAGUCGCGUGUGAAAGCCCCCCGGCUCAACUGGGGAGGGUCACGCGAUACUGAUCGACUCGAAGGCAGGAGAGGGAAGUGGAAUUCCCGGUGUAGUGGUGAAAUGCGUAGAUAUCGGGAGGAACACCAGUGGCGAAGGCGACUUCCUGGCCUGUUCUUGACGCUGAGGCGCGAAAGCUAGGGGAGCAAACAGGG
rnacentral:rRNA from 1 species